rnacentral:rRNA from 1 species
AUGCUCAAAGCAGGGAUUGUGAAACCUAGCAUGAGCCCAUACGCUUCUCCAGUACUUCUGGUUAAGAAAGAAGACGGCAGCUGGCGUUUCUGCGUGAAUUACCGCAAACUCAACGCCAUCACUGUGAAGAACAAAUUCCCUCUUCCUAUUGUCGAUGAAUUACUUGAUGAACUGGCAGGAUCAAAAACUUUCUCCAAGCUGGACCUCAGGGCAGGUUACCACCAAAUCCGUAUGCAUGAACCGGAUGAGGAGAAGACUGCAUUCAAGACACAUUCAGGACACUUCCAAUUUUGUGUUAUGCCGUUUGGGGUGACCAAUGGACCACCAACAUUUCAGUGCUUAAUGAACAACAUUUUAGCUCCAGCUAAUCGCAAGUAUGUCAUCAUGUUUCUGGACGAGAUUCUAGUUUUCAGUACCACUUGGGAGGAACAUUUGGAGCAUCUCGCUCGGUACUGCAGACCUUGCGUGAGCAUCAGUUGUUUGUGA